UCCUCUUCAACGUCGGCGUCGUCAUCGUCAUCUUCCUCCGCGUCGGAGAGCUCGGGCAUCUCCUCAGCAGCUCCAUCGCCGCCUGUCAAAGUAAAAUCCUCAUUACAGCCGCGGUCCACAGAAAACAGGAGCUGCAUGAGGCGCAGACUGGCGUGAUUGUAAUGGACGGUCUACGCGUGCACGAGUCCCAGAGGUGACAUAAAGCAAGGUACAAGACACCUGCGGAAAAGACCAGCUUCCGCGUGCGGAGGGCAGACGUUUUGUCAUAGUGGGGAAAGUAACAGGUGUCGCCACUACCAUUGAUGAUCGUUCCAAUAUGUCCAAGUGUUACUCGACACGCGGGACAGCAGGCGCAAGUGCCAGGACCCUGCGACCAAAGCGGCUCGGCCACAAAUCAUUUCAUCAUCAUUUAUUUCACACUGUGACGCGCCAACAUAUCUUCUGUCGGGGGAAGAGCAUCAUCAUCAUCAUCUGUUUUAAGUGGAAAAUAUCACCCCCGGACAGUAUGUUGUCCUUUUUUUUUUUUCCUGGUGUAACCGGUCAACACAAGUGCCGCUUGGUUUCCGUUUAAUUCGAUAAAAAGGCCUGUGUCAGUAGACUUAUUGGCACCAUGAGUACCCUUUCCAUCUUGCAGCAGCAUAGGUCUGCGGAAAUUUUUAAUUUCAUCGCCAGGUUUCAAGAAAAACCCUGCUGGGGAAAGAGUCCAUGUCAUAUGGGCCCAUACAGCCCAAU